UACGUAGGGGGCAAGCGUUGUCCGGAUUUAUUGGGCGUAAAGAGCGUGUAGGCGGCCUGACAGGUCUGCUGUGAAAACUCGAGGCUCAACCUCGAGAUGUCGGCGGAAACCGUCUGGCUAGAGUCCGGAAGAGGAGAGUGGAAUUCCUGGUGUAGCGGUGUAAUGCGCAGAUAUCAGGAAGAACACCCGUGGCGAAGGCGGCUCUCUGGGACGGUACUGACGCUGAGACGCGAAAGCGUGGGGAGCGAACAGG
rnacentral:rRNA from 1 species